rnacentral:sRNA from 14 species
CUUUCGCCUUUUACUAAAGAUUUCCGUGGAGAGGAACAUUAUGAGAUCAAACGAAUUUUUUGAUGCCCUGCCUCGUGCGGGGCU